rnacentral:rRNA from 1 species
UACGUAGGGGGCAAGCGUUGUCCGGAAUCAUUGGGCGUAAAGAGCGUGUAGGCGGCCCGGUCAGUCCGCCGUUAAAGUCCAGGGCUCAACCCUGGAAUGCCGGUGGAUACUGCCGGGCUGGAGUCCGGAAGAGGCGAGUGGAAUUCCUGGUGUAGCGGUGAAAUGCGCAGAUAUCAGGAGGAACACCACUGGCGAAGGCAGCUCGCUGGGACGGUACUGACGCUGAGACGCGAAAGCGUGGGGAGCAAACAGG